rnacentral:rRNA from 1 species
GACGAACGCUGGCGGCGUGCUUAACGCAUGCAAGUCGAACGGAAAGGCCCUGCUUUUGUGGGGUGCUCGAGUGGCGAACGGGUGAGUAACACGUGAGUAACCUGCCCUUGACUUUGGGAUAACUUCAGGAAACUGGGGCUAAUACCGGAUAGGAGCUCCUGCUGCAUGGUGGGGGUUGGAAAGUUUCGGCGGUUGGGGAUGGACUCGCGGCUUAUCAGCUUGUUGGUGGGGUAGUGGCUUACCAAGGCUUUGACGGGUAGCCGGCCUGAGAGGGUGACCGGCCACAUUGGGACUGAGAUACGGCCCAGACUCCUACGGGAGGCAGCAGUGGGGAAUAUUGCACAUUGGGCGGAAGCCUGAUGCAGCAACGCCGCGUGCGGGAUGACGGCCUUCGGGUUGUAAACCGCUUUCGCCUGUGACGAAGCGUGAGUGACGGUAAUGGGUAAAGAAGCACCGGCUAACUACGUG